rnacentral:tRNA from 1 species
UGUGCGGUGGACUGGAGGUGGAUCCAGCUUGGUCUCAUAAGCCAAAUUACGUGAGUUCGAGUCUCACCCGCGCAA